rnacentral:rRNA from 1 species
AGCGAACGCUGGCGGCAGGCCUAACACAUGCAAGUCGAGCGCCCGUAGCAAUACGGGAGCGGCAGACGGGUGAGUAACACGUGGGAACGUGCCUUUCGGUUCGGAACAACCCAGGGAAACUUGGGCUAAUACCGGAUACGCCCUUACGGGAAAGAUUUAUCGCCGAAAGAUCGGCCCGCGUCUGAUUAGCUAGUUGGUGGGGUAAUGGCCCACCAAGGCGACGAUCAGUAGCUGGUCUGAGAGGAUGAUCAGCCACAUUGGGACUGAGACACGGCCCAAACUCCUACGGGAGGCAGCAGUGGGGAAUAUUGGACAAUGGGCGCAAGCCUGAUCCAGCCAUGCCGCGUGAGUGAUGAAGGCCCUAGGGUUGUAAAGCUCUUUUGUGCGGGAAGAUAAUGACGGUACCGCAAGAAUAAG